rnacentral:lncRNA from 1 species
CCCCACCCAUCCUUGCUAGACGCAUCAGCAUGCAUACUGAAUUAAUUAACCUAUCGCACAUGUAUCUUUUUUUAAGAAUAUCACAUGUAUCUUAGACCAGUCUUAAUGUAGAUUUUAUGGGAUUCAUGCAUAUUAAAUAUAGAGUUUUUAUAUGUACACUACAAGAAAUUCUGCCUUUUAUGACAAAAUUCCUUAUGACGGGGCCUGAUUUUGUCAUAUAAUGUAUCAUAAUAUGACGCAAAAUUAUGUGUCGUCACAAAUUGAUUGGAGCCAGAUUUUUUUAUGACGACUUGGUUUCUUUUGUCACAUGUCACAAAUUGUAUGACGCCCGAAGCCGUUUGACGGUUAUGAAUUUAUGACAAUUCAUAAAGAUUUUAUAUGACAAGUAGGCCGUCACUAAAUGUUUUAUCAAAUAUGACGGCCCUAGAUGUCAUAAAAUGUCCUAGUAGAAGUGGGCAUUUGACCAUGUCUGUUGGGCCUAAAGCUAGGCCUCAGCCCAUGUGAAAAGAAGAGGAGCACGGGUGGAGUAACCAGGCCAGCCUAAAAGAGCAGGGCUGAGAGACUUUUUUCUUUUUCCUUUCUUUUUUCAUUUUAGUUUGUAAAUUUAUUUUUUGUCUAUUUAAAGCACAUGAUACAUAUUUUUCAUGGCAAGAUCAUACCAAAACUACACUAACACAAGUGGAAUCAUAGUUUUAGCACAUACCAUGAAUUAGUUAUGCAUUUUACAAUAUAUCAGGCAUUUAACAAAUUAAAUAGAGUUGUACAUGCAUGUAUAUAUAUAUAUAAAAGAACGAAAAUAGCAAAAAGCGAAGGACGCGAGUUUUGGUAUUCGUGACUGUUUCACUGGACCA